CUAGCAUGUAUGACAAAUAACAGAUGUAACUCCUGUGAUGAGAUUUCUUACUUCACGGUCCGUGUUUUUGACUACAGUGAUAAGGCAGAAGUUCUGAGGCUAUUGGGUGUCACAACCUUUGAUUUCAUGUGAUGUGAAUGAUUAAUAUCUCUUCUUUUUCAGCUUGCCAACAACGCACAUGAAAGCCCCUUUUGGAACUCUGGCCCUGAGAUGACAAACUUAAUGAUUCUCAAUGACAAGGCGUUCUAGGAAAUACACGUUUGUACAUCUAAACAAAAAUUACUGGAGCUCUUUUUGGAUCCUGGGAGCAAGCACCUUAUAAAACCAAGGAAGCGGUUCUUCAGAGAAGGCAAAUGAGUCAUGUUCACAGUUUAAUUCACCAAACUUUUCACAACAGUUCUGGGCUUUAAGCACACUUAAUAUGGUAUUAGAAAAAGAUGGCUUUUUAGGAAGGCUUGCAACACAGCCCAAAUUUCACUUUUGUAAUUUCACUUGGCAUGUAGUUUUACAAUGAAAAUAUAACAUUUGAGUGCACUUUUUGGCAUAACACCACCUACAAAUUGUAUAAACCAACCCUGUUAAGAGAAUUAAAGGGCACAGAUUUUGCUGUAUACAGUUGUUGGUUGUUACAUUGCUGAGCCAUGAGUGGGCGUCCCUGGUUGGUUGAGUCCAAUUGUGGUGCACAACCAGCCGGCAAAAUCAACUUGCUCUGCCUCCGACUGUCUGAUAAAAGGAUGUACCUGUUGGAGGAUGAAAUGUCACAUGGGUCAACAUUGAAAUGUAUAAGGAGGUGACAAUUUUUAAUACACUAACCAUUAACUGUUUCAGGUCUGCUCUUUCUGCAGGGUUCUUUAUCAAGCUAAAAUGAAAGUAAUCAUUUGGUUAAUAGUUUAAAAUUAUUAGUGGUAUAAAAUGUAAAUAAUCCCAGACUUUUCAACUCACCAUUUAUUGACAAAGUCUUGGAAUUCUGUGCUGAAUAACAUCCCAGGCAAUUUUGGCGGAGGCUAUAAUUAGAUACUAUUAGUGACACGGUUGUCAUUUGAAAGUUUUGAUUGUGCAAAUCCUCACCUCAUUGACGAUAUAGUCGAGUAAUUCAAAGAUGGCCAUUGGAGGCCUACUGUCUGACCCAUGUGCUGAAAUGACAAAAACGGCACAGUUAACUGAACAGCUUACUGGAAGAUUGGAACUUGAGCCUUAAGUCUUACAGCUGCCAGGUCGCCCAGGAGGCCCAGCCUUUGGUGAGGACUCCGCGGAGUUCCCAUCUCCUGCUUGACUUCCAAAAAUGUGUUCCAGCUCUUUUGGGUCAGGCGGUGGAAUAGGAAAGCGCCCAAUGGCCAUUUCAACCAAGGACAGACCCAUACUCCAUAUGUCUGACUGGACUGAGUAAUGGGUGCCCUGUAAACGCUCCGGCUAUGUAAAAGAUAAAAUUUGUUCUCAAUUUCGGCAGCUGUUUUUAACUCAUUGGCUCUCAUUGACGGUGAUAGACGUCCAAUCAAUUUAAACUGAGAAGGCCAGCAGAGAAUGAACCACUUCAAAUGGAUUGGACACCUACUACUGACUAGUUUGUUUAAAUUCACAGCAGAAGGAUGAAAACGGCUACAUGAUUAGAUGUCUGUGUCAUCAAUGGCAUGUAGAUUGUAGUAUUUUUCAGGGGGGGUUGGCAGGACUUUGAGUGGCAACUUACAGACAUGUAGGAGCGUGUGCCCACAAAGGAGUUUGCCAUGGAGUCUAUGAGCUGACCACUAACUCCGAAGUCACACAGCUUGAUCUCACCACGGGAAUUCACCAGAAUAUUAGAAGGCUUGACAUCUGAAGACAAAUAACAAUGUCACAUAUUCGGAAGUACAUCAUUAGAUGAUUCCUGCUCAUGGAUGAUAAUUUUGUAUCCUUUGGGGAGAAUUUGAUCAUCCUCCAGGAGCAGUGGUUCCACAGUUUUAGCUAGGCAUUGUACAAUAAUUGUUAGCGGGGUUUGCAUGCAGCAGUCAAAAUUUGUGAACACAUUUAUAGCUGUAGUGACUAAUGCUUAAUUAGCCAUUAGUUAAGUACUGUUUAUAUUGAUUGACCUCUGUGCAUGAUCUUGUGUUUCUCCCUCAGGUACGAGAGCCCUUUAAGCACCUGCAAAAAUAAAUGUAUAGCAUUCAAUGAUUCUUUUCAGUGUUCACUUGCCAUGAAAUGUCAACAUGCAGCAUGUUGCUUAAGUGUGUUUUGGGGUGCUUGUUUUACGGUCUUGAUUGGUUUCAUAAUUCCAGUCAUCUACUGCCCGAGAGGGUUGGUUUUAUGGACAGAACAUGGCUCAUGGAUCAGUUUUAUUUGUAACGGUCAUGAGCUUGGCCUGGGAUUGCUACUAAAGAUGUAGUUAAAGCCAAAUUUCUACAGUGGUUUUAACGUCCGUCAGCCCAUGACGGUGUCUAUUGUACCUUGAACAGUCAUCAUAUACAGUAACACACCUUGUCAAUCUCUAGUGUUAAUUCAUGCUUGCAUUAGCAAAUAACCCCAUAAAUCUGUGAGAUGAGAAUACAAUGAAGUUAACAUACAGCAAUACUGAUUUUGCCAAGGAUUUGCUCUGGGAUCUUUCCAGCUUUCUUGAGUGACUGAUCCAGGGAGCCGCCAUCCUAAAGCAGCAAAUCAAGAAAUUAGGUGGAGGCAUGUUUACAAUGAAAAUAAAAUGGGAACGUUGUGUACCAUGUGCUCCAUGCAGAUGCUGAUUUCGCCAUCACUGUAGAAGGCUCCAUAGAACCCCACAAUGUAUGGAGAGUUGCAUUCAUGGAGUACUUGAAGCUCCCGUAUAAUCUGAUUCCUGAUGGCGGGUUUGAUUUCGAGGUGAAUAAGCUGAAAUACAUAUAGCUCCUUACUAUCACAAAGUUAUUGUGUAGUUAACAGCUAUACAUGGGCAUAUAAAAUACAUUUUAAUUCAGUUUACCUGUAAAGGAUAGUGUGUGUGUGUGUGUGUGUGUGUGUGUGUGUGUGUGUGUGUGU